rfam:Callipepla squamata strain Texas jcf7180005228741, whole genome shotgun sequence.
GCUGGCAUCAUGAUGAUGACUCUUUGCCGUUUACCCAACUGAUUUUUUUGAUGAGUAACACCAUAUCUGAUGUGCCAGC